rnacentral:rRNA from 1 species
AACGGCUCACCAAGGCAACGAUGCAUAGCCGACCUGAGAGGGUGAUCGGCCACACUGGGACUGAGACACGGCCCAGACUCCUACGGGAGGCAGCAGUAGGGAAUCUUCCGCAAUGGACGAAAGUCUGACGGAGCAACGCCGCGUGAGUGAUGAAGGCUUUCGGGUCGUAAAACUCUGUUGUUAGGGAAGAACAAGUACAAGAGUAACUGCUUGUACCUUGACGGUACCUAACCAGAAAGCCACGGCUAACUACGUGCCAGCAGCCGCG